rnacentral:lncRNA from 1 species
AGUGGGGGCCUGGGCAGCUGAAGGUUCCUUCCCUCCCUCCUUUGUUUUUCCUGCCUUCAAUAUUUCCUGAGCAUGUGUUCUGUGCUGGACAGGCUACUAGGUACUGGGAACCAAGGAUCUUAAUGUAGCUUGGGAGACGCUUGUACACACCCUACUUGCAAGAGCCAUGUGGUCAGUGUUCUACUAGCAGCAUGGACAUGAGUGGCUGUGGGAGCAGCACGGAGGACUUCCUGGAGAAGGUGGGCCCUGGGAUUGGUGUUGUCCUGGUCCCGUCUGGAAUGAUGUGCUGUGUGGGACUAUGCAGCCCGCGGGCCUGCGGCAAGGUGUGUGUCCCACUUCACCUUGGCUCUUAUUCCAGGCAAAGCCAAGAGCAGAGUGGGGAGAUGAUAGCCCAUGUCCCAUGGGAUAGGUGGGCAACAAAGAUCAGUCAGAACAGUGACAAUAUUAAUUUUGUAUUUUCAUCCUUGGGAAACCUAAAAGGAUGGACCUUAGAAAACUCUUCUGUCCCGGCUCCUUAGCAGAAGUGAGGGAGGGAUGAGACCAGAGGUUUCUCAUUUCCCCACGAUCUCAGCCAGAUCCAGUUUCAAGGACUCAGAGCUUCUUCUCUGUGCCAAGAAGAUGCCCAACUCCCCCUAGUCCUCAAAUGACUGCAAAGGCAGGGGGACUGCAAGCGACUCUCGAGCUGGGUAAUGAGAUGAGAGGAAAAAGUGCCCAGCUGUGACAUUAAGUGGGAUUUAUUUUCAUCAUCUCAGGUUCCCUAUUGUAUGGCAUACUCCUUCGCCACCUGCACAUACAGCCAUAUUUUAGGAUACAACUGCGAGGGUUUCAGGGCUCUCUGAGAAAUAAUGGCUCUGUGCUGUCACUGCAUAGAUGUGCCCUUUCAAAUAUACAAAACAGGAAGGUGACCUGCUGAUUCAGUGGAAGGCAAUAAACCACACAUUCAAUUAGAAUGACA